rnacentral:lncRNA from 1 species
AUGAUGAAGGGAACAUCAUCCUUUGGAAAGAAAGCAUCACACCAAGAUGCACCUACUGUGUUGCUGUUGUGGCUCUAAGGCCUCCUUACCUUCAGAAGUCAACCUAUGGCAAAUGUGACUACCCUGCCAAGUGCAAGAGAGAGUAUAACUAGAGUGCCAAGGUUAAGAGAAGAAACACUAUUGCAACUGGUAGGAUAAGGCACCAAAAAUUGUCUAUCGCAGAUUCAGAUAUAGAUUCCAUGAAGGAACAACACCUAAACAUAAGAGA